CAGUCGCCACGGUAAUACGAAGGGUGCAAGCGUUACUCGGAAUUACUGGGCGUAAAGCGUGCGUAGGUGGUGGUUUAAGUCCGUUGUGAAAGCCCUGGGCUCAACCUGGGAAUUGCAGUGGAUACUGGAUCACUAGAGUGUGGUAGAGGAUAGUGGAAUUUCCGGUGUAGCAGUGAAAUGCGUAGAGAUCGGAAGGAACAUCUGUGGCGAAGGCGACUAUCUGGGCCAACACUGACACUGAGGCACGAAAGCGUGGGGAGCAAACAGGAUUAGAUACCCCUGUAGUCCCUGUCUCUUAUAC
rnacentral:rRNA from 1 species